CUACCCUUGCCCGUGGUUUUUACCCUAAUUUGUUUAGGGGUUUUCCACGUAAAAUCUGUGCCUCAUUUAUUUUUCUUUCUCAAAUUAUUGUUGCAAUCUGAUCUAUCCCACUUCCGCGGGCGCAACACCUUCCAACACUGACAGGCUGCUCUUCCAUUUGAGAAGAGCUUCAGCUUCUUUUCUUGCUGAUGAUGUUGUUUCCAACGCAAAGAAACAAGCUGAUGGCAGCACAAGAAAGAUGAUGAGUGCUGUAUAGUUGCAACCAAAAUUUCCCUUUUUUUUUUGAAGAACAAAAUUACUUGUUUUUCACCAAAGAAAUAUGCUCUAGCUUUUAUAGACAACAAGUUGAUAUAUUGAAGCGAUAGGCUGAUUGUUACAUGACAAUGUUGGCAUUUCCAUUUUCCACAGCUCCAUAUAAAAUGGUGAAGAAAAGUGUGAUGAAACCAAAAUUAAAGCCAAAAUAGUCAAGUAAACGAAAGGUGAAGAGUUAGUCUUUGUGGAGAAGUGGUCCAUGGCCUUUAGUUUAUGCAUCAAGUCAACCGUUUCACAUUAUCGGUGAAUUAAGAUCAUGAUGAAUAAGAAUACUGUGACAUGUUAUAUGCUUCUUAUACUAUAAAUUUAUGAGUUCGAAUCAUGUCAACACCUUAUUGAUCGAAUUCAUCACAAAUAGUUUUCUUAAUGCGGUUUACCUCAUUAUAUUUGAAAAACGUAACCGUUUGUUGAACGCUGCACAGCAGUUGAAGAAGGCGGUCUGUUAGAAGUUUACAUACAACAGUCUGGCAGAGGGCAGCGGGCAAUGGAGGUCCGAUGAUAGUUAACAAAAGUCCGGAGUAGCCAAUUAAGUUCACAAGGCAAAUUUCAUUCAAGACACACAUUUGAAUAGUGGAUACGCAAAGUGCACAUUCGAGAAUCAAUGGAUAUAUAUACAAGUUAGUUGCAUGGUGGAGAAGAGCAGUGAAAAUAGAUGCUCAAGAACUCAUGCAAUGCUUCCAAAGUGAUUCAGAGUUUUCUACUGUUGCACCAUAUUAUAUUAUAUUCAACCGUUUACUAUAUAAAUUAAAUAUCUUACAAAUUAAAUAUUACGUGGUAUGGACAUAUCAUUGGUCACUUGUAUUAUCCAGCUUCAAGAUCCAAUUGACAGAAUGCAAAUUGUCUAGGUUACAAUCUAUUGACAGAAAGUAAUAAUCUUUUUUCUCCCAUAGCCAUAAUAAAUCUAUUUUAGAAAGAAAGCUCUAAGACAUUAACAAACACAUUAUUCAUCAUGCUUGGAACAUUUGGUAUUAGACCAAAAUCGUACAACUCAGAUUAACAUAUAACAACACCUAUCAUAUGACAACAAUCCAAAAUGCUUCUUUAACAUCCAUCCUCUUUCUGAGUCUUUGUCAUUUGGAGAGAAUCGAGCUGCAAAAGAUAGUAAA